UAUAAGUUCGGCUUCCCACUCUGUGGGAGGAGAGAGAGCAAAUGGAGCAGCGCUGCAACUUCUGGCUUUCCAAGAAGAGGCGGUUUUGUGCAAACGAGCCCCUCAAGAAUUCAGAGUUUUGUGGAAACCACAAGCCUGGAUCAGAGGAAAGCAGGAUUCCUUGCCCCAUCGACCCUUCCCACUCUAUACUUCCAGAAAAUUUGGAUGCGCACGUUAAAAAGUGCCCAUUGCAUAAGCAGGUAGAAGCACUAAAGAUGCAAUCAUUUUACAAAAAGGGUAUUAACAGUGGAAGAGAUGUUCCUUUUGUUGAUAGAUCAAUAACCCCUCAUAUAGAAGUAGCCGAUACCAUUGCUUCAAGGACCAGCGAAAUGCUUGGAUGUGCGAAAUGCUCUGAGAGUGCCCUUUAUGCGAAGGACUGUCCUGAGUCACCAAAUGUCAGUUCAGAGAUGAAGAAAAAGGAAAUAUAUGAAAUGUCUGAACAAGAAUUCCUUUCACUUCUGAAUAAAAUUACAUCAAUCCAUAGUUCCAUUGCUUCAAAUAUAGAAGACUCAUACAUCGUACCGGAAUCUUGCAGUUGCUGGUUGAGCAAACAACUUGACAGGCAAUUGCCCUACCAAGAAAAGCAUGUUUUUCAACAGGCGUCAAUCCUUGGGAAUUUGGAAAAAUUUGGAAUUUUACAAAGGCCAAAGGUUACAGCUUCUGUUUUCCCAGAUCAUGGAACAAGGGAAAGUUUAAACUAUGAUGAUUUGUUUGAAGGGAGGGAUGAAGCUCUUGCAGUUGUUGAAUUUGGGGCUGGGAGAGGAUAUCUGACGCACAUGCUAACAGAUUGUUAUGGGAUUACUAAAGUUGUCUUAAUAGAACGCAGGUCCUACAAGCUAAAGGCUGAUCGGAGUUUGAGACAGAAACAGCACGUGACUUUAGAUCGUUUGAGAAUUGACAUUGAGGAUUUGGACUUGAAUGCUGUGGAGACUUUGAAGGGUGUUUCUUACCUGGCAAUAGGGAAACAUUUAUGUGGUCCUGCCACAGACUUUACCUUAAGGUGUUCCCUUGCUCAGCAACAUAACAGACUAGGAGACAAUUGCAGCCUGAGAGGUGUUGCCGUUGCAACAUGCUGUCAUCAUCUUUGCCAAUGGAAAUCUUACAUAAUUCCUUUAGGAACUCUGUUCUUUUGGACAGUUGGCUGGCAAAUAAUACAGAAGAAAAAGAUCAAGGAUUUCUAUUUAGUAUGGGGAUAUCCAAAGAAGAUUUCCAUGCAAUUACAUGGUUCACCAGCUGGGCAGUAGAUGCGGACCACCAAUUUGAUCUCUCGGAAGCAACUGAUCAGAGCUUGCUUUUCAACACAUGUGAUGAUGGGGGACAGCUUGGAGUUGAAGAGAUUUUAAAAAAUAUGAAACCGGUCGAGAGAGCAAAGUUAGGGUUCAUGUGUAAAGAUAUCAUCGAUAUUGGGAGGCUUAUGUGGAUUAGAGAAAAUGGGUUUGCAUCUCACCUUGUAAAAUAUGUCCCUUACAAUGUAUCUCCUGAGAAUCAUUUACUUGUUGCAAAGCCUACUAAGCAAUCUACAUUUUUGGACCUUCCUCGAUUGUUGAUUUAACUUCAAUUGCAUUUAUAGGUACUUUAGCAGUUGAAUUUUCCUUUGGAUGAUAAAAGUGCAAAAUAUAUCCAUGGAAGGUCUUUUUCAUCAACUUAUAUCCACCUUAUAGCUUCCCAUGUAAGGGCCCUUCUGUGAGAGAGAGAGAGAUGGAACUGAGCAAAGUGUACAGCUAUUUCUGGAUAGCAAUGCCAUAUCCUACUUCCAAAGUCA